rnacentral:sRNA from 1 species
GUACUGACACGGGCUGCCCAGGCAGGGGGUGGCUCGCUGGACAAAGCUGGCCAUGCAGGCGCUCAGGCGUGCAGGGUAGCCAGCGCCCCGGCCAGGAAUGGACAGCCUCCAGGACACAGUGCCCCUGGACCACGGGGGCUGCUGCCCUGCCCUCAGCAGGCUGGUUCCCAGAGGCUUUGGGACUGAGAUGUGGACUCUCUUUGCCCUUUCUGGACCCCUGUUCCUGUUCCAGGUGCUGACUUUUAUGAUCUACAUCGUGAGCACUGUGUUCUGCGGGCACCUGGGCAAGGUGGAGCUGGCAUCGGUGACCCUCGCAGUGGCCGUGAGUACCCAGCUUGGCCCAGAGCAGGGAAGUUCUCUCCUCAGGUUCUCCACUGGGUUCCCGGGUGGGCCCGUCUUGGGUGGCUGGUCAGGGAUGGGAAGACACAGCCCACGUGGCUGGACAGCUGCCUUCACAGGUGGAACCUGAGGGCCGGAGAUGGAGGCGGUCUGGCCCUGGGGCACACAGCACAUGAGGCUGCUGAGCAGAGCCACCUCUGCCACCGCUGCCUGCUGGGCAGCAUUUCACAACCCUGGCUCAGCCCAGAGGCAGGGGCCUCUCUUCAGGCCUCGCCUGACAAGCUCUUGUUUCCUCCUGUGUGUGGCACCAGUUUGUCAAUGUCUGCGGAGUUUCUGUAGGAGUUGGUUUGUCUUCAGCAUGUGACACCUUGAUGUCUCAGGUAGGUGGCCUCCCAGGGAGCUGGGCAGGAAGCCAGGCAAGGGCAGAGCCAAUCCCACAGGUGCUAUGGAGAUGGCAGGUGGGAGGGACGCAGCCAGGUGAUCUGGGAGUGAUGGGCCCUGGGGUCAGCUGCCCCUGCUCCACCUCCAAGGACCACAGGCUGUCAGGGAAACAGACCCACCCCUUUGAAAGAGUCUGGGCCAGGAGAAAGGCGAGGAGAUGGUAGAGACAGUUCUCUGACCUCUUGCCCCCAGAGGAGGUCACCAAGUAGAGAAAG